rnacentral:rRNA from 1 species
GACGAACGCUGGCGGCGUGCUUAACACAUGCAAGUCGAACGGAAAGGCCCUGCUUUUGUGGGGUGCUCGAGUGGCGAAAGGGUGAGUAACACGUGAGUAACCUGCCCUUGACUUUGGGAUAACUUCAGGAAACUGGGGCUAAUACCGGAUAGGAGCUCCUGCUGCAUGGUGGGGGUUGGAAAGUUUCGGCGGUUGGGGAUGGACUCGCGGCUUAUCAGCUUGUUGGUGGGGUAGUGGCUUACCAAGGCUUUGACGGGUAGCCGGCCUGAGAGGGUGACCGGCCACAUUGGGACUGAGAUACGGGCCAGACGCCUACGGGAGGCAGCAGUGGGGAAUAUUGCACAAUGGGCGGAAGCCUUAUGGAGCAACGCCGCGUGCGGGAUGACGGCCUUCAGGUUGUAAACCGCUUUCGCCUGUGACGAAGCGUGAGUGACGGUAAUGGGUAAAGAAGCACCGGCUAACUACGUG